UACGAAGGGGGCUAGCGUUGCUCGGAAUGACUGGGCGUAAAGGGCGCGUAGGCGGAUGGCACAGUCAGAUGUGAAAUUCCCGGGCUUAACCUGGGGGCUGCAUUUGAUACGUGUGAUCUAGAGUGAGGAAGAGGGUCGUGGAAUUCCCAGUGUAGAGGUGAAAUUCGUAGAUAUUGGGAAGAACACCGAUGGCGAAGGCAGGUCUCUGGGCUGACACUGACGCUCAUGCACGAAAGCGUGGGGAGCAAACAGG
rnacentral:rRNA from 1 species